rnacentral:rRNA from 1 species
CACGAAGUUAGCCGGGGCUUCUUCUCCGGUUACCGUCAUUAUCUUCACCGGUGAAAGAGCUUUACAAUCCUAAGACCUUCAUCACUCACGCGGCAUGGCUGGAUCAGGCUUGCGCCCAUUGUCCAAUAUUCCCCACUGCUGCCUCCCGUAGGAGUUUGGGCCGUGUCUCAGUCCCAAUGUGGCUGAUCAUCCUCUCAGACCAGCUAUGGAUCGUCGCCUUGGUAGGCCUUUACCCCACCAACUAGCUAAUCCAACGCGGGCUCAUCAUACCCCGAUAAAUCUUUCCCCCGUAGGGCGUAUACGGUAUUAAUUCCAGUUUCCCGGAGCUAUUCCGUAGGGCACGGUAGAUUCCCACGCGUUACUCACCCGUCUGCCGCUCCCCUUGCGGGCGCUCGACUUGCAUGUGUUAAGCCUGCCGCCAGCGUUCGUUCUGAGCCAGGAUCAAACUCU